CUGAAUUCUCAUUAAACUCUAGCGGUCAUUUUAUGACAAUCUCUGACUGUUGUUUUUCACUAGGCUGAGAAGCAGAGUUUAUGGUGGUUUGAGGCUGAUGUUUUCUUUUGAAGGGGUUUUCUAUCUUGUAAGGCUGGUCAUGUGGAGUUUGGCUUGUUUGAUGGAUCAUAACAAGUGGAUCUACAAUGGUCAUCAGUUACUGUGGUCUACCCAUAACAAGAUCUAUUUGAGGUUGAUUUCUCUGCCAAACAUCAUAGCACAUGGGGAAACACCGGUACUUUCGUGGAUACUUGACCUGUAGGCAAACAUGAGUAAAGGU